rnacentral:rRNA from 1 species
AUUGAACGCUGGCGGCAGGCCUAACACAUGCAAGUCGAGCGAGCGGCGGACGGGUGAGUAAUGUCUGGGAAACUGCCUGAUGGAGGGGGAUAACUACUGGAAACGGUAGCUAAUACCGCAUACCAUCAGAUGUGCCCAGAUGGGAUUAGCUAGUAGGUGGGGUAACGGCUCACCUAGGCGACGAUCCCUAGCUGGUCUGAGAGGAUGACCAGCCAACCCGGAACGGGGACACCGGCCAGACCCCUACGGGAGGGAGGAGGGGGGAAUAAUGGAAAAUGGGCGGAAGCCCUGUUGAGCCAUGCCGGGUGUUAUGAGAAGGGCCUCGGGGUUUAAAGUACUUUCAGCGGGGAGGCGUUACCCGCAGAAGAAGCACCGGCUAACUCCGUGCCAGCAGCCGCGGUAAUUC